AAGGCAGGUCUUCCCAGAGGAAGACCACAGAGGUCCAUGACAGGCUGCCUCCCGGGAGGUUAUGGAAACAGAGGCUGUGGGCAGGCCAACUGAAGAGGCGUUUCGGCGACGGUUUGCCCUGGGUGGAGGACUUCAUCAACAAGGUUCCUUCAUCUUUUUUGUGGUUUGGAUCUUCGAGCCUGGCUUGAAAGAAGAGGGAGCAGGCAUUAGGGGAAAUGCUCAGCCCUCCGCCCACAGGAUGGCUUCCUUCUCUCCACGCAGGUGUCAGCCUUCUGCCCCAGGAACAGACUGGACUGUUGGAGAGCGGCGGAAUCUGCAUUGGAACCCAGACCAUCUGGCUCCCCAGUCUCCUUUGUGAUCCAUGAUGAAUGCUCCAUCCCUG